AAAAAGGUAGAUGAAUAAGGAUUGGGCAAGACCGGUGCCAGCCGCCGCGGUAAUCCCGGCGGUYCAAGUCGCAUCCACAAUUAUUGGGUCUAAAACAUUCGUAGCUUGUUUUGUAAGUCUCUUGUGAAAUUCCAUAUCUCAAGUAUGGAGCGUGCAAGAGAUACUGCAUUACUAGAGACCGGAAGACGCAAAGAGUAUGAUUGAGGUAGUGGUAAAAUAUGUUAAUCUUAAUCAGACUAACAAUGGCGAAGGCACUUUGCGAGUACGGAUCUGACAGUGAGGGAUGAAGGCUAGGGGCGCAAAAGGGAUUAGAUACCCCUGUAGUCCUAGCAGUAAACGCUGCUCACUAAACAUUAGCACCUCCUCGAGAGGCGUUAGUGCUGUAGCGAAGGCGAAGAGUGAGCUACCUGGGAAGUAUAGUCGCAAGACCGAAACUUAAAGGAAUUGGCGGGGAGGCACUACAACGGGUGACGCGUGCGGUUCAAUUAGACUCUACACCGUGAAUCUCACCAGGACCGACAGCAGAAUGAAGGUCAGUCUGAAGGGCUUACCUGACACGCUGAGAGGUGGUGCAUGGCCA
rnacentral:rRNA from 1 species